rnacentral:lncRNA from 1 species
CCAAAACUUGUGAAAGAAAUGACUUAUGAGUUGAGGGAGUGUGUUAAGUCAGGAGUUUGUGUGUGUAAUAUUGUUACAGUAAAAGAGAUUAGAAGUGAAGUUGGGCUGCUGCAAGGGGAAUUGGAAUACCUGUCAUAUCUGAAGAUGAUUGACUUGUUUUUAUAACUGAGAUGUCUCAAACACAAAAUCCAAGAGACAACCAGGCCUUGCUGCAGUCCAUGUUGCAGAGGCUGAAGCUUCAAGCCGGGAACACAAAUAUCCAGUUUGGACAAAAUACGCAGCAGGAAACUUCAGAUUUACAAACAAUAAAAAACAACAGCAACCCCGUAAAUGGAUUUGAACCGACGGGCAACACAAAAAGGGAUUUUACUGUAACUGGGAAAACGCAGGAAAUUGACAGUUCCUCUGAAUGGAGCAGGGCAUCGGGUCAGAGCAAAGACUUUCCAUCGCAGACCGGGCAACUCUUUUCUCCAAAACCUGUUCAGGAUGCCGCUACUGUUUCUCAUGAAGGAGGAUAUAACAUUACCACUUUCAAAACAGAAAAGGAUAUAUCCAAGGGUCUCAACAACGGAGAAAGUGCUGAACAAAGCCAGGACGAUAAUAGUAGCUUGGGGUCAAGAGUUUAUUCUUGGUCCUCAAAGAGGCCAGACAUCCAAAAUAAUAAAGUGCCAUUUGAGGGAGUGUUUGGAGCUACAGGGCAGAAUACACAGAUAGUAUCUAACAACCAAAACACAACAAACAACAGAAAAUUGAGAUCGUCGGAGAAUAAAACGCGUAGAUGGACUCAAAAAAUCAAAGACAAGUGGAGAGAUAGGCCAGGCAGUUUUGGUAAAAAAGGAAAGGAUGAUUUAUGCGUUGACACAAUAUCACAAGAGACUUCACCUCAAUACCUGCCCCUUACAACAAAGGAUUUUAAUUCACCAUCAAGUGAAGAGUCAGGAGGCACCCCCACAUCUGUGGAGAGCACAGAUCACAACAAAACUAUUUAUCAGACCUCAAACGGCAAUGACGAACAUGUGAGAUCUACAAAUGAUCUUGACCUUGGCCUUGGCUCAUUCAGUCUGCUAGAUGAAAUUGUCAGUGGCCAAGAAUGGGCCAAGUUCUUAAAUCCAUCCAUUUCUGCAGCCGCUCAUGAGCGAUCAUCCACAGAGACUAUGGACCAAAUAUUAACUAAUCACCAUGGUAAAAUUCAGGAAUUAACUUGA